rnacentral:rRNA from 1 species
UACGUAGGGGGCUAGCGUUAUCCGGAAUUACUGGGCGUAAAGGGUGCGUAGGUGGUUUCUUAAGUCAGAGGUGAAAGGCUACGGCUCAACCGUAGUAAGCCUUUGAAACUGGGAAACUUGAGUGCAGGAGAGGAGAGUAGAAUUCCUAGUGUAGCGGUGAAAUGCGUAGAUAUUAGGAGGAACACCAGUUGCGAAGGCGACUUGCUGGGCAGCAACUGACGCUGAGGCGCGAAAGCCAGGGGAGCAAACGGGAUUAGAUACCCGCGUAGUCCCUGAGCGGG